rnacentral:rRNA from 1 species
CCUACGGGUGGCAUCAGUAGGGAAUCUUCCACAAUGGGCGAAAGCCUGAUGGAGCAACGCCGCGUGGGUGAAGAAGGUCUUCGGAUCGUAAAACCCUGUUGUUAGAGAAGAAAGUGCGUGAGAGUAACUGUUCACGUUUCGACGGUAUCUAACCAGAACGCCACGGCUAACUACGUGCCAGCAGCCGCGGUAAUACGUAGGUGGCAAGCGUUAUCCGGAUUUAUUUGGCGUAAAAGGAACGCAGGCGGUCUUUUAAGUCUGAUGGGAAAGCCUUCGGCUUAACCGGAGUAGUGCAUUGGAAACUGGGAGACUUGAGUGCAGAAGAGGAGAGUGGAACUCCAGGUGUAGCGGUGAAAUGCGUAGAUAUAGGGAAGAACACCAGUGGCGAAAGCGGCUUACUAAACUGCCACUGACAUUGAUGCUCGAAAGUGUGGGUAUCAAACAGGAUUAGAUACCCCUGUAGUC